CAAGUCGAGCGGACAGAUGGGAGCUUGCUCCCUGAAGUCAGCGGCGGACGGGUGAGUAACACGUGGGCAACCUGCCUGUAAGACUGGGAUAACUCCGGGAAACCGGGGCUAAUACCGGAUAAUUCUUUCCCUCACAUGAGGGAAAGCUGAAAGAUGGUUUCGGCUAUCACUUACAGAUGGGCCCGCGGCGCAUUAGCUAGUUGGUGAGGUAACGGCUCACCAAGGCGACGAUGCGUAGCCGACCUGAGAGGGUGAUCGGCCACACUGGGACUGAGACACGGCCCAGACUCCUACGGGAGGCAGCAGUAGGGAAUCUUCCGCAAUGGACGAAAGUCUGACGGAGCAACGCCGCGUGAGUGAUGAAGGUUUUCGGAUCGUAAAACUCUGUUGUUAGGGAAGAACAAGUACCGGAGUAACUGCCGGUACCUUGACGGUACCUAACCAGAAAGCCACGGCUAACUACGUGCCAGCAGCCGCGGUAAUACGUAGGUGGCAAGCGUUGUCCGGAAUUAUUGGGCGUAAAGCGCGCGCAGGCGGUUCCUUAAGUCUGAUGUGAAAGCCCCCGGCUCAACCGGGGAGGGUCAUUGGAAACUGGGGAACUUGAGUGCAGAAGAGAAGAGUGGAAUUCCACGUGUAGCGGUGAAAUGCGUAGAGAUGUGGAGGAACACCAGUGGCGAAGGCGACUCUUUGGUCUGUAACUGACGCUGAGGCGCGAAAGCGUGGGGAGCAAACAGGAUUAGAUACCCUGGUAGUCCACG
rnacentral:rRNA from 2 species